rnacentral:lncRNA from 1 species
UUUCUUCUCAUGUAGUUGUUUGCCUGUCUUCAUUUUUUUUCUUCCUCCUGGAAACACUCAGGGAGCAAAGUCAUCUUGAUACCUUCAAAGGUACCAUUCAAAAUAAAGGCAACAGUCCAGGUUAUUGUCAACUGGGAGAAGAUACUCUGUAAAUUAGGAUGUCAUCGCAGGGGAUGCUGUGUGUGUGAUGAAGGCUAUUUAAGGAAAGAUUCACUCUGCCCCAAGUGGAAGGAAGCACUGUAGCUGCCACCCAAAGCUGGAGUUUAAUCUGUACUGAAGACCCUACUGAUUUUCCUACCACCAGCUGUCAUGGAAAGCAGGUACCACACCAUGACUGGCUACAUAUAUGUCUCAGCUCCAGUGUGCAAAGAGUAUCCUGAAGGGGCUUAAAGGACUCAUUAUUGAUAAGCCUCUGCAAGACAUUCCAAAGCAGUUUAACAUCACCAGGCUGAGGUGAGAAAGCCCAAAUCACACCCAGGAAGGAGAUGCUCUGGGUCCUGAGUCCAGUGCCUUUACCCAGUAUAAGCAGCCAACACCUGCCACUGGGCCGGAUGGAAGCUCUGUGUUGUUAUCCCCAACCAAGGAGCUUAACUCACAGUUAAACUGUCGCAGCAAGAAUGGAAGACAGUGUUUGCUGGCGUGGUGGCUGGCCAACUUAACCCCAAUUAGCUUUCUCCAGAAGAUCAGGCACAUCUGCCACAGGAAGGGUACUGCAGUGCCUGCAGCGACUUGAACCUUCCUAUAUCAAUGAACAACCAAGGUGCUAUAAAAGGGCUAAGAAAGAAGUUGUUGGAACACUACCCAGUGUGUUUUGUGUGUGUGUGUCUGUCUGUCUGUGUCUCUCUGUGUGUAUCUCUAUGUGUGUCUCUGUGUGUCUGUGUGAGUGUGUGUGUCUGUGUGAGUGUGUGUGUCUGUGUGAGUGUGUGUCUGUCUGUCUGUCUGUCUGUGUCUCUGUGUGUAUUUCUGUGUGUGUCUGUGUGACUGUGUGUGUCUGUCUGUCUGUGUCUCUGUAUGUCUGUGUGAGUGUGUGUGUGUGUGUGUGUGUGUGUGUGUGUGUGUAUGUGCCUGUUUUACAUCCUUUCCAACUCCACACCUCCUUGGAUUGCUGAACACAUUCUAGAACUGACCUCCAGCACCAAAGACUCUGUGGAGCAGCCACACAGACAGCCUGCAGCACACACCCCUGACUGAGAUGUUGACUCAACAACCAUGUAUACAGCUGCUCUCUCUCACCAGUGGAUGCGUCAUCUUGACCACAGAUCUUCUUUAUAGCCAACCAUGCCUAGCUCACAGCAUGUUAGCAAGGGCAGCAUUUAUCAACCUUUCUUUUGAAAGUCACUGGGUCUUCAGGUGGUCUGACUGACAGCAGCAGAUAACUGAUGCUCUGCUAGCUGUUCAGUCCAAGUUUACAGGACUUCUUCACACCUCUUACCCAGUUUUCAUUAUCAGUUGAUGCCAAACACAAACUCUACCAUAAGUUUUCUAGCAGCUUGCAGAGUCGUAUGCCAAUACAUGUACCUUAAAGUUUGAGCAUUCGUGUUUCUGUAAGAGAAGCCUUUUAUUUCUACUUCUUAGUACAUAGAACUCACUCUUUGGCCCCGUUCUUAGCUAUGGCUCAAUUGUAAGCUUCCAGUCACCAAUGCCAUUUGUCACAAGAGCUUUCUGCACACAUGUCUUCAUUUCCCAUGUUGUUUCCAUGCUGUAGGGCUACCGUCUCUGAAGAUUCACCCAAAGAGUUGUGAGUAAUGUUACAGAUGCCAGGACCAGUCAUGGGUCCUCUUCCUUCUUUUCCUCCUCCUCUGCUUCCCUCUCUCUGUCUCCCUCUCCUCCCCUCUUCUUCUUUAUUCCUCCUCCUGGCUACAGAGUUAUAAAUGCCUCCUCUAUGUCAACGAUACCUAAAUGUGGGUCUAUAUCAUCCAGAGCACACCCCUGAAUCACCAGCAUUGUGUCCUAUUGUCUGUGUAAAGUCCUCUUGUGAAAAUCAUAGCAAAUAGGUGACACAGCAUCGGUGGUGCUUAGGAAUUACUGUUCUGGAUGGGGAAGUAGGAAAAUUGCCAUGAAGUUGAGGCUAGCCUGGACUACCCUUUGAGGUACCAAGUAAUCUGGGCUUUAGUGUUAGACACUGCC